rnacentral:rRNA from 1 species
UACGUAGGGUCCGAGCGUUGUCCGGAAUUAUUGGGCGUAAAGGGCUCGUAGGCGGUUCGUCACGUCGGGAGUGAAAACUCGGAGCUCAACUCCGAGCCUGCUUCCGAUACGGGCAGACUAGAGGUAGGCAGGGGAGAGCGGAACUCCUGGUGUAGCGGUGGAAUGCGCAGAUAUCAGGAAGAACACCGGUGGCGAAGGCGGCUCUCUGGGCCUUACCUGACGCUGAGGAGCGAAAGCGUGGUAGCGAACAGG